AAGUACGGUGGCGCCACCUACGUGAGGCAGCCGCCUAAAGAGUGAAUGGUGACUGGGGUG
rnacentral:rRNA from 1 species